rnacentral:siRNA from 1 species
CACAAAUACAGAUGGUGGUAAUUU